rnacentral:rRNA from 1 species
AUGCACGGUUGUGAAGUUAUUAAAUGCAUGAAGUCUAGGGACUUUUCUGCAAAACUGGCCUCCUCUGGAAAAAAAGACAAAAUCGCAGCAACAGGAAAAAAACAUAUCGGGCCGAAACUGGAUCUGGGUGAGGGUUGCUCACUUUGGGCCAAGCCCGGGUCGGAUCUGGAGGGGAAGCAAGCUGGGCCUGCUCUGUGGGCUACAGGAAAGAGGUGGCCAUGGGCCGGUCGCACCUGGGCCUUGUUGGAUCAAACGAGGGGGUGUGGAGCCGCGGUAAAUGCGCUCGCUCCUGGACAGGACGAGAAGCAGGGCACGAGCGGGCAUCCUCUGUAG